GAUGAACGCUGGCGGCGUGCCUAAUACAUGCAAGUCGAGCGAACGGACGAGAAGCUUGCUUCUCUGAUGUUAGCGGCGGACGGGUGAGUAACACGUGGAUAACCUACCUAUAAGACUGGGAUAACUUCGGGAAACCGGAGCUAAUACCGGAUAAUAUUUUGAACCGCAUGGUUCAAAAGUGAAAGACGGUCUUGCUGUCACUUAUAGAUGGAUCCGCGCUGCAUUAGCUAGUUGGUAAGGUAACGGCUUACCAAGGCAACGAUGCAUAGCCGACCUGUGAGGGUGAUCGGCCACACUGGAACGGAGACACGGUCCAGACUCCUACGGGAGGCAGCAGUAGGGAAUCUUCCGCAAUGGGCGAAAGCCUGACGGAGCAACGCCGCGUGAGUGAUGAAGGUCUUCGGAUCGUAAAACUCUGUUAUUAGGGAAGAACAUAUGUGUAAGUAACUGUGCACAUCUUGACGGUACCUAAUCAGAAAGCCACGGCUAACUACGUG
rnacentral:rRNA from 1 species